UAUACCCCAAGACCGAGUUCUUACAGAGAUGCGCUUCAGGAACUUCUCAAAAUUCUUUUCUUUGCUGCAUUGGUUUUCUCAAUCUUCUUCUUCUUGUGGAUGUCUGUGUUGCACUGUUUACUAGAUUAAGGGGCUAAAAUCAUGUUUUUGCAGAGUUUUAAUUUGAAGCUCUGUUAAACUUUUAAGAUUAGCUUUUGUGAGAUUGGUAGGAUAUCUUUGAGGUAAUUUUUCUAAGGUUAUUGUUUGUCUACUAUCUCAAUGUAUCAAUCUAGUGGUUUUAUAUGAAUAUUGUUGUGUAUUGGUAUCUCAGUGUUUGCUGCUAGGUUUUUCAUUGGUUGUGUUAUAUAAUGUAUUAUAUCAGUAUGCUAGAGUUUUUUGUAUGGUGAUUUUUUUAUGGCUACUAGAGUUUUUUCAUAUGCUCUGCUGACGCUGCUUUUAGAUUGGAAUGUGAUUAGCUUAGGAUGAGUUGUAUGUUGAUGGAAUUGGGAGGGGAACAGAGGAAUCAAAAGUUUAUUUGUAUCGUAUGUGUGUGUUUUUGCAGUUUUUGUGUAAUUCCACACUGUUGCACUAUGAUGCAGAAAAAGCUUGUUUUCUUUUUUGUGAAAAUUUUGAAUUU
rnacentral:lncRNA from 1 species